ACUUAAGGAUAGAUUUCUUUCCUUCCAAAUCAUUCACAUUCUGCGGAAAUCCAACUCUGAUGCCGAUGUACAGGCAAACUUGGGCAUUGUAAAAAUUUAUCGAAUUUAUUUAUACUUUUAUAGUUAAGGAUACUAGGGUGAGAAGAGAUUAGUAGGGUAUUGCUCUUGAUAAAGCAGAGGACUUUUGGCUGGCUAUGGAUACUUCAAUUCUCCUACUAUCCACACUUGUAACCACAAGGUCAUGAGUUCAAAACCUUGCCCCUUUGAUUUGAGCCGGUCAGCUUUGGGUAACGUAAAUUUGUUUACUUCUUUGUGGUCCUUUGCUGGCUGGGAUCACAAGACGGAGUUUACUUACACCUGAUGAAAGGGUUGUGGGGUUUCCCUCGUCAAAGACUUCAGGUUGUCUGUUCAUCAAUUUUACUGAACUUCGUUGUGUGUUGAUACAGAUGACCAAAUUCAAGAGGAGAUUGAAAACUAAUUGCAUUAUUGGGAUUGCGUUCUUACUGAUGUUGAAUUUGCUGAAAAAAAA